rnacentral:rRNA from 1 species
GACGAACGCUGGCGGCGUGCUUAACACAUGCAAGUCGAACGGAAAGGCCCUGCUUGCAGGGUGCUCGAGUGGCGAACGGGUGAGUAACACGUGGGUGAUCUGCCCCUUACUUUGGGAUAAGCCUGGGAAACUGGGUCUAAUACUGGAUAGGACCAUGCUGUAGGUGGUGUGGUGGAAAGAUUAGUUUCGGUAAGGGAUGAGCUCGCGGCCUAUCAGCUUGUUGGUGGGGUAAUGGCCUACCAAGGCGUCGACGGGUAGCCGGCCUGAGAGGGUGGACGGCCACAUUGGGACUGAGAUACGGCCCAGACUCCUACGGGAGGCAGCAGUGGGGAAUAUUGCACAAUGGGCGCAAGCCGGAUGCAGCGACGCCGCGUGGGGGAUGACGGCCUUCGGGUGGUAAACUCCUUUCAGCCAUGACGAAGCCCUUGUGGUGACGGUAGUGGUAGAAGAAGCACCGGCUAACUACGUG